GUGCCCAACAGCGACAUCCGAUAAAAUUGGAACGAUACAGAGAAGAUUAGCAUGGCCCCUGCGCAAGGAUGAUACGCACAAAUCGGAAAUGGGAAGAAAAGAUUU